rnacentral:rRNA from 1 species
CCUACGGGUGGCAGCAGUCGAGAAUCAUUCACAAUGGGGGAAACCCUGAUGGUGCGAAGCCGCGUGGGGGAAUGAAGGUCUUCGGAUUGUAAACCCCUGUCAUGUGGGAGCAAGUUAAGAAGAUAGUACCACAAGGGGAAGAAACGGCGAACUCUGUGCCAGCCGACGCGGUGAUAAAAAGGUCUCAAGCGGUGUUCGGAAUCACUGGACGUAAAGCGUGCGUGGGCUGGUUGGUAAGUCGUGUGGGAAAGGAGCGGGCUCAAACCGCGGACGGCACAUGAUACUGCGAGACUAGAGUAAUGGAGGGGGAACCGGAAUGCUUGGUGUAGCAGUGAAAUGCGUAGAUAUCGAGCGGAACACUCGUGGCGAAGGCGGGUUCCUGGACAUUAACUGACGCUGAGGCACGAAGGUCAGGGGAGCGAAAGGGAUUAGAUACCCUUGUAGUC